rnacentral:lncRNA from 1 species
AAAAAUAUAAUCAAUGAAUUCUUUUCUCAUCUCCACACUCUAUUUAUUGCAAACAUAUUUUAUGCCAAAAACACAUACACACAUAAAAAACUGACUCCCUAGGAGUACCUAGGAUACUCUGGGUGCUAACACCUUCCCUCUGUGUAACCAACCCCCUUACCUGUAAUCUUUGGCAUUUUUUUAGUUUUGAUUUGAAAACUUCUUACCUUUAGGUUUU